UCAAGAAUUAUGUAACCAAGUAGA
rnacentral:piRNA from 1 species